GAUAAUAUGGCUGAGAUUAUAGGCGGUAGACUGUAAAUCUAUUUACGGAGUGGAAUUCCUUUUAUCA
rnacentral:tRNA from 2 species